UAGGGAAUCUUCGGCAAUGGACGAAAGUCUGACCGAGCAACGCCGCGUGAGUGAAGAAGGUUUUCGGAUCGUAAAACUCUGUUGUUAGAGAAGAACAAGGACGUUAGUAACUGAACGUCCCCUGACGGUAUCUAACCAGAAAGCCACGGCUAACUACGUGCCAGCAGCCGCGGUAAUACGUAGGUGGCAAGCGUUGUCCGGAUUUAUUGGGCGUAAAGCGAGCGCAGGCGGUUUCUUAAGUCUUAUGUGAAAGCCCCCGGCUCAACCGGGGAGGGUCAUUGGAAACUUGGGGACUUGAGUGCAGAAGAGGAGAGUGGAAUUCCAUGUGUAGCGGUGAAAUGCGUAGAUAUAUGGAGGAACACCAGUGGCGAAGGCGGCUCUCUGGUCUGUAACUGACGCUGAGGCUCGAAAGCGUGGGGAGCAAACAGG
rnacentral:rRNA from 1 species